AAGUCGUAACAAGGUUUCCGUAGGUGAACCUGCGGAAGGAUCAUUACAGAGGUUUAUCCUUUUCUGUGAACUUAUUAUCUGGCAUUGAAGUUUAGCACGAGCUGAUCUGAUUUCAACCUUAUGUGGUCGAUCAGCAACGACGGCGACCACUUCAAUGCCAAACUUUACACAACAUAACGUCUGAAGAAAGAAUGAAAA
rnacentral:misc_RNA from 1 species